CGGUCUAAACGCCGGCGAGCUCGGUCCUUUCGGGUUCUUGUUGCCUGUGCCUCUACUCGAAUCGCGAAGAUCCCCCGAUGAGGAGGCGGCUCCUGCUGCUGGGGCGGCGGCCGCGGCCGCAGCUCGACUCGCUGAGGCCGCUGAGUAGUCGGCUUCUCCGGCCUAGACUGCCUCUGCUCUUCAGGCGAGGUAGCUUCGGCCGACGCUUCGGGGCGGGGGCGCAUUUGGGAUCGGGGCCUCUACCCCUGAGGAGCGACGGGAGCCGCGAUCUACAGAAGCGGCUCUAGAGGCCCGGGGGCCGAAAGGAGUUGGCGUCUCACCGGGUCGGGCUCCUCCAGCCCCUCCGCGAGCCGCACGAGCUAGCAGCGAGGUUGAGGUUCUCCUCUUUCGGCGGUGGAGGGCCACGCCAACACCGCCGCUUCGGUGUCAACCAACGGUAGGCACUUGCUCAAUCGUCACUGCACUUCUUACCACGGUUGGGAGGUCAACGCCAACACAGCCGCUUUGGUGUCAACCAACGACCAGUGCUUGCUCAAUCGUCACUGUACUUCUUACCACGGUCGGGAGGUCCAAGACAACUUCCUUUCUCCUUUUAUCCGCGACGUUUAGGACCAGGCCUUCUACGACGGCUCGAAGAUUCUUACACGGAGGUCACACCAUAUGGUUUUUGGAUAAGUGUACGCGUUCCUUACCAUACGGGACAAACGUUGCUGUCUGGCCACGUCCGAUUUCUCGGUCUCUUCUUCUUCCCAAGACGACACUUUCUGUUCCUCUUUCACUUCUCCUACUCUCCCGUUAGCAGUGUACGUAGUACCUUCUCGCUUUGACUCUACCGGGACGCGGUUGUUAAGCUGACUAACCACAGUGGUCCUGACGACCACGUGGGUUAGACAUUUGACAUGUGAUCCAUCUUAUGUUAGAGAAGCGGACUCAUUCGAACGUGGUGACGCAGUGCCAACCAAGUUCUAAACAAAGAACAUAAACGUCAAGAGACGCUGUGAGCCUAACCAGACUAUUCGACACAAGCAAUUUUACAAAGGUCACUGAGCCCCGGAGAAAACGAAGUACUCCGAAAAGGACAUAGAUGGGCAUUGACUUGGCACGGGACACACUUUAAAACCGUCUUAAGGUUACUUUGAACGCUUGUUAUCUUCGGGACUUAUGAUUU
rnacentral:rRNA from 1 species